AGAGUUUGAUCCUGGCUCAGGAUGAACGCUAGCGACAGGCCUAACACAUGCAAGUCGAGGGGCAACAUGGUGUCAGCUUGCUGAUACCGAUGGCGACCGGCGCACGGGUGAGUAACGCGUAUGUAAUCUACCUGUAACAGAGGGAUAACCCGGAGAAAUCCGGACUAAUACCUCAUAGUACAUAUUAUUCGCAUGAGUUUUAUGUUAAAGAGAUUCGGUUACAGAUGAACAUGCGUUCCAUUAGCUAGUUGGCGGGGUUACGGCCCACCAAGGCAACGAUGGAUAGGGGUUCUGAGAGGAAGGUCCCCCACACUGGUACUGAGACACGGACCAGACUCCUACGGGAGGCAGCAGUGAGGAAUAUUGGUCAAUGGGCGAAAGCCUGAACCAGCCAAGUCGCGUGGAGGAAGACGGCCCUACGGGUUGUAAACUUCUUUUACCUGGGAAUAACGGGCGCUACGUGUAGCGCUGUGCAUGUACCAGGCGAAUAAGCAUCGGCUAAUUCCGUGCCAGCAGCCGCGGUAAUACGGAAGAUGCGAGCGUUAUCCGGAUUUAUUGGGUUUAAAGGGUGCGUAGGCGGAAGGAUAAGUCAGCGGUGAAAUGCUUCAGCUCAACUGGAGAAUUGCCGAUGAAACUGUUUUUCUAGAGUAUAAAAGAGGUAUGCGGAAUGCGUGGUGUAGCGGUGAAAUGCAUAGAUAUCACGCAGAACCCCGAUUGCGAAGGCAGCAUACCGGUGCACAACUGACGCUCAGGCACGAAAGCGUGGGUAUCGAACAGGAUUAGAUACCCCGGUAGUCCUAGUG
rnacentral:rRNA from 1 species